rnacentral:rRNA from 1 species
AUUGAACGCUGGCGGCAGGCUCAACACGUGCAAGUCGAGCGGAGAGAGGUAGCUUGCUACUGAUCUUAGCGGCGGACGGGUGAGUAAUGCUUAGGAAUCUGCCUAUUAGUGGGGGACAACAUUUCGAAAGGAAUGCUAAUACCGCAUACGUCCUACGGGAGAAAGCAGGGGAUCUUCGGACCUUGCGCUAAUAGAUGAGCCUAAGUCGGAUUAGCUAGUUGGUGGGGUAAAGGCCUACCAAGGCGACGAUCUGUAGCGGGUCGGAGAGGAGGAUCGGCCACACUGGGACUGAGACACGGCCCAGGCUCCUACGGGAGGCAGCAGUGGGGAAUGUUGGACAAUGGGCGGAAGCCUGAUCCAGCCAUGCCGCGUGUGUUAAGAAGGCCUUAUGGUUGUAACGCACUUUAAGCGAGGAGGAGGCUACUUUAGUUAAUACCUAGUGAUAGUGGACGUUACUCGCAGAAUAAGCACCGGCUAACUCUGUGCCAGCCGCCGCCGUAACAC